UGAAGCUGGAUUCGCUAGUAAUCGCGCAUCAGCCAUGGCGCGGUGAAUACGUUCCCGGGCCUUGUACACACCCGCCCGUCAAGCCAUGAAAGCCGGGGGUACCUGAAGUACGUAACCGCAAGGAGCGUCCUAGGGUAAAACUGGUAAUUGGGGCUAAGUCGUAACAAGGUACC
rnacentral:rRNA from 1 species